CAUCAUGUGGUCCGGUCAUUGGAAACAAAGAUUAGCAGAAUAGAAGUGAGACAGAAUCAACUGAACUCUGGAGUUGAAAAUUUGGUAGGUCA